rnacentral:lncRNA from 10 species
AGGCUCUCUGCUAAACCACUGGAGCCCACAUGUAAAGCAGUUCUUGGCACUUAGAAAGUACUGAAUAAAUAUUUGGGUUUUUGUUGUUGUUGUUUGAGACGGAGUCUUGCUCUUUCGCCCAGGCUGCAGUGCAGUGGCGCGAUCUCAGCUCACUGCAACCUCCACCUCCUGGAUUCAAGCAAUUCUCCUACCUCAGCCUCCCAGGUAGCCGGGAAUACAGGUGCACGCCACUAUGCCUGGCUAAUUUUUGUAUUUUUAGUAGAGACAGGGUUUCACCAUUUUGGCCAGGCUGGUCUCAAACUCCUGAUCUCAGAUCAUCUCUGGGUGUUGUUUCCAGAUGUCUGUAUGGUAAUUGCAUCAGAAAUUGCCGUGGAUAUUGUAAAACAUGCCU